GACGAACGCUGGCGGCGUGCUUAACACAUGCAAGUCGAACGGAAAGGCCCUGCUUUUGUGGGGUGCUCGAGUGGCGAACGGGUGAGUAACACGUGAGUAGCCUGCCCUUGACUUUGGGAUAACUUCAGGAAACUGGGGCUAAUACCGGAUAGGAGCUCCUGCUGCAUGGUGGGGGUUGGAAAGUUUCGGCGGUUGGGGAUGGACUCGCGGCUUAUCAGCUUGUUGGUGGGGUAGUGGCUUACCAAGGCUUUGACGGGUAGCCGGCCUGAGAGGGUGACCGGCCACAUUGGGACUGAGAUACGGCCCAGACUCCUACGGGAGGCAGCAGUGGGGAAUAUUGCACAAUGGGCGGAAGCCUGAUGCCGCAACGCCGCGUGCGGGAUGACGGCCUUCGGGUUGUAAACCGCUUUCGCCUGUGACGAAGCGUGAGUGACGGUAAUGGGUAAAGAAGCACCGGCUAACUACGUG
rnacentral:rRNA from 1 species